rnacentral:sRNA from 1 species
CACCUUCUUCUCCCUCUCACACACCAACCAAUGUGCGUUUACUCUUUUGUCCAGUUCCUAGGGGCCCUGGAUUCCAUCCUGGCCUCUUCACUGUGGGGCCACGUGCGGUGUUCCCUGCCUAGCUUGCCCUCUGCUUCUGGGCAAGCUGUCAACUUGCCCUCCAGGCCUUUACUCACAAAACCAUCUUGGUUUUGUUCUCGGCCCAUGACUCCAGCUUUAAGGAUGGGUUCUGAGGGAUGGCUCUGGAACUUUCGGUAAUACAUCACUGUUCUUGUUCCCAUCUUAGAUGCUCCCUGCCUCCAGCCUGAUGGAGCUCUCUAGAGUCCCUCACCUGCUACUGUGUACCUGCCUUUGCAAGACCCUUCUUCUACCACCGCUAACAUGGACUCUACACCUUCCUGCUGUAUAUAUAACUUGUAUAUAUGACUUCUCGUUCCUUGCCAUCCCUCCUCUUCUUCCUAUCUGGGCGUCAUCAUUGUUGUCACCUGGUCCACCUGUGGUGGUCUUCAGCCUCGGAGCAAGUGGUACACCUUUCCCUCCUCCUUCUCCCACAGCAACUAGCACAGCGAUUUCCCAGAACAGUUGCUGAAGACCGGAAAUGCACUUCCUAUGUCAACGCACCUUGUAAUUUCAGCGAUCAUCUCUUGAAUAUAUCCCUUCUCUCGGAUGAUAUUUUAAUGUUGGCUUUUCUGAAAAUAAAGCUGCCCUUUGGAA